CUACGGGGCGCACCAGUGGGGAAUAUUGCACAAUGAGCGAAAGCUUGAUGCAGCCAUACCGCGUGUGUGAAGAAGGCCCGAGGGUUGUAAAGCACUUUCAAUUGGGAGGAAGGUUAAGUAGUUAAUACCUGCUUAAUUUGACGUUACCUUUAGAAGAAGCACCGGCUAACUCUGUGCCAGCAGCCGCGGUAAUACAGAGGGUGCAAGCGUUAUUCGGAAUUACUGGGCGUAAAGCGCGCGUAGGCGGAUUAUUAAGUCAGUUGUGAAAGCCCUGGGCACAACCUGGGAACUGCAUCUGAUACUGGUAGUCUGGAGUUUAAGAGAGGGAAGUGGAAUUCCAGGUGUAGCAGUGAAAUGCGUAGAUAUCUGGAGGAACAUCAGUGGCGAAGGCGACUUCCUGGCUUAAAACUGACGCUGAGGUGCGAAAGCGUGGGUAGCGAACGGGAUUAGAUACCCGUGUAGUC
rnacentral:rRNA from 1 species